AUUGAACGCUGGCGGCAUGCUUUACACAUGCAAGUCGAACGAGUGGCGCACGGGUGAGUAAUACAUCUGAACGUGUCCUAUCGUGGGGGAUAACUGAUCGAAAGAUCAGCUAAUACCGCAUACGAUUGGAGCGGCCGAUGCCGGAUUAGCUAGUUGGUGAGGUAAAGGCGCACCAAGGCGACGAUCGGUAGCUGGUCUGAGAGGACGACAAGCCACACUGGGACUGAGACACGGCCCAGACUCCUACGGGAGGCAGCAGUGGGGAAUUUUGGACAAUGGGGGCAACCCUGAUACAGCCAUGCCGCGUGUAGGAUGAAGGUCUUCGGGUUGUAAACUGCUUUUGGCAGGGAAGCGGUACCCGAAGAAUAAGCACCGGCUAACUACGUGCCAGCAGCCGCGGUAAUUC
rnacentral:rRNA from 1 species